rnacentral:lncRNA from 1 species
GAGGUACACCAAAUAUUUUGCAGUUUCCAUCUUGGGGUUUCACGGGCUCAGUUUGUUUAACCGACUUGGUCAACAAGUCACUGGAGUGAGAAGGCGUAUGGAGAUAUGAAGGAAGUGGUGGCGGCAUCAACCACUUCUCAUGUUGCUGAUUAGGAUGAAGGACGUAAUCGUCAUAAGCACUGUACCUGACAUCUCUUGUCGUCUGGUAUGAGAUUUCACCCGAUUGAAGACCCGUUUUUGUACCACUGCCCAAUAAGCUGAGGGAGAGAUUGGAGGGUGAAACUGAAAUGGACCAUGGAUUUGUGUGACCGUUGGUUGGUGUAGAGAAUUCAUUUGCGGAAUCAUUGGUUGUUCCAAAACCCGAUAAUAGAUCUGUGAAGGAGGAUCCAACAGUCCUAGAAACGGGCGAGAGUUUAUCCAACCCGUAACCCGACCCAUAAUGUUGAGAAACAGAAAGUGAGUUAGCUUUUUCAUCGGUUAUUACAGAAGGUGUCCAUUGAACGGGCCUGUCACAUGAAUCUGACUCAUUACAAUCCAUGAAAGUGCCUCUCAAGGUCGAUAAUUCUUGACCUUGCAAGACCCUUGAGAAUGAACUUUUUGAUGAAGGGUCUGCUGCAGCCAUUUUUGAUGGUCCUGUACCUUCUCUAGUGAGAACAGAGGAAUCAGGAGACGAAGGCAAAAUGUUUGAGCGGGGUCUUUUUUGUCUAUGCACUGGAAGUGUAUUGAUUGUAGGAGGCAUGAGAGCAGGUUCUAUUUUCCACGGUGAAACCCUCUCUGGACGGGGAAU